GAUGAACGCUAGCUACAGGCUUAACACAUGCAAGUCGAGGGGAAACGCCAUCGCAAGCUUGCUUUUGAUGGGCGUCGACCGGCGCACGGGUGAGUAACGCGUAUCCAACCUGCCCAUCACUUGGGAAUAACCUUGCGAAAGUAAGACUAAUACCCAAUGAUAUCCCACGAAGGCAUCGGAAUGGGAUUAAAGAUUUAUCGGUGAUGGAUGGGGAUGCGUCUGAUUAGCUUGUUGGCGGGGUAACGGCCCACCAAGGCAACGAUCAGUAGGGGUUCUGAGAGGAAGGUCCCCCACAUUGGAACUGAGACACGGUCCAAACUCCUACGGGAGGCAGCAGUGAGGAAUAUUGGUCAAUGAGCGAGAGCAUGAACCAGCCAAGUAGCGUGCAGGAAGACGGCCUUAUGGGUUGUAAACUGCUUUUAUAAGGGAAUAAAGUGGGUCACGUGUGACUUUUUGCAUGUACCUUAUGAAUAAGGACCGGCUAAUUCCGUG
rnacentral:rRNA from 1 species